GUAAUACCCCCUCCGUCCCAAAAUUAUUGUCUUAGAUUUGUCUAGAUAUGAAUGUAUCUAGUCACAUUUUAAUAUUUAGAUACGUCCAUUUCUAAACAAACCUAAGACAAGAAUUUUGAGAUGGAGGGAGUAUGUG
rnacentral:pre_miRNA from 1 species